GAUGAACGCUGGCGGCGUGCCUAAUACAUGCAAGUCGAGCGAACAGACGAGGAGCUUGCUCCUCUGACGUUAGCGGCGGACGGGUGAGUAACACGUGGAUAACCUACCUAUAAGACUGGGAUAACUUCGGGAAACCGGAGCUAAUACCGGAUAAUAUAUUGAACCGCAUGGUUCAAUAGUGAAAGACGGUUUUGCUGUCACUUAUAGAUGGAUCCGCGCCGCAUGAGCUAGUUGGUAAGGUAACGGCUUACCAAGGCGACGAUGCGUAGCCGACCUGAGAGGGUGAUCGGCCACACUGGAACUGAGACACGGUCCAGACUCCUACGGGAGGCAGCAGUAGGGAAUCUUCCGCAAUGGGCGAAAGCUUGACGGAGCAACGCCGCGUGAGUGAUGAAGGUCUUCGGAUCGUAAAACUCUGUUAUUAGGGAAGAACAAAUGUGUAAGUAACUAUGCACGUCUUGACGGUACCUAAUCAGAAAGCCACGGCUAACUACGUG
rnacentral:rRNA from 1 species